AUGAAGUUGCCAGAAUUGCCGCGGUUCAGCUCCGAUUUCAAGGAGCGCGCUAUGAUUUCCGCAGAGCGUCGUUUCAAACCUCAGGGCAGAGAUUUCAAAUUGGUGAGUUCUCCCACAGACGGGAUUGAAAGGAUCCAUCAAAGUGGUCGGGGAACCAGAAGAGGCUCCGAGUGUGUGCAGCCUGCAGACAACUGGUGAAUAAGAGUGACUCACUUCCUGCUGGGCUGGAGAAACCCUAUGUCUGUGGCAGACUCAAACAGGAAGUUCAUCCAGGCCACGCCGGUCUCUGACUAAUAGCGAGCGUGACGCCAUUUUUGCAGUCCAGGUUUUCAGGAAUCCAGUCCACCAGCAUGUGCUGGAGCAACAUUGAGGCACGGAGAGCUUUCACUUCCAGUGCUUCUUUUCCUCACUUCCAAAUAAACACAGACCAUAGCCGCUGACAGCUUAACAGUUACGUGGACAGAAGUUAGUUUGCUGAUGCAAGACAUUGCUGCAUUUUCUGUCUCAUACAGACCGGGAGGGUUUCGGUUUCACUCACUGCAUGCGGUGGCGAGAUAGCCCGAGGGUGAAAGCGCUGUUAUUUUUGUCUGGAAUACGCCUCUCGACUGACAUUGAAACCUCAUUUUCAAACACCUUGGGGGAUGACAUCGCCAAAGUCAUCAAGUAAUUGAUAUGUAUGAGGACAUAUCAGCACGACCAGCACGCCGUCUUCGAGGACAGACAACAGACGUGGUGCCUCCGUGUGCCAGAGAGGGACCAGAUGUUUUCCGCAAUGACUCAUAGUCCUGCGGUGAUAGUGAAAAAGAACCAGCCCGUCUUCCCGCGCCCGCAGAUUGGCUGUUAGAGGCUGGAGAUUUGUUUUCCCCCAUCUUUGACCUUGCAUAGUUGUCAAGGCAAAUCAGAGCUGGAGCUGAUGUGGCCCAGCUGAGGCUUCAGCUCUCUUUGCGCCCUUUGAAAUAUGAGACACAGCCGUCCACGUGGGAUUCAUUUCUACUACGAAUCUUUCUUGUGCGCGGCACAAUUUUUUUUAGAUUUUGCUUAUCAAACGUUAUAAAGCAAGGGUGUCAAACUAACUUUAGCUCAGGGGCUACUUGUACAUAGUGUGGGCCGGACUGGUAAAAUCAUUAUAACUUAAAGGCCUACUGAAACCCACUACUACCGACCACACAGUCUGAUAGUUUAUAUAUCAAUGAUGAAAUAUUAACAUUGCAACACAUGCUAAUAAUGCUGGUUUAGUUUACUAAAUUACAAUUUUAAUUUUCCCGCAGAGUUUCCUGUUGAAAACGUCGCAAAAUGAUGACACGUGUUUGUGACGUUAUUGGUUGGAGGGGACAUAUUAGCCCAGCACCACUUACGGCUAAAAUUUGUCUCUUUUCACCGCAUAAUUACACAGUAAUUUGGACAUCUGUGUUCCUGAAUCUUUUGCAAUUUGUUCAAUUAAUAAUGGAGACUAUAAAGAACAAUGCUGUUGGUGGAAAGCGGCGUAUUGCAGCUGUCUUUAGAACCAAGACACAGCCGGUGUUUCUUUGUUUGUUGUGAAGCUUUAACACAGAGCGGUAAAGCAAACAUGUUUCUCUACGUCAACCAGCAUGUUUUCGGAUGGGAAAAUUGUGAUAUAUAACUUACCGGAGACAUCAGUGGAUUAUGCGUCCUCCUGCAGUAGCUGUCUUAAAGCAGUGGUUCUCAACCUUUUUUCAGUGAUGUACCCCCUGUGAACAUUUUUUUAAUUCCAGUACCCCGUAAUCAGAGCAAAGCAUUUUUGGUUGAAAAAAAGAGAUAAAGAAGUAAAAUACAGCACUAUGUCAUCAGUUUCUGAUUUAUUAAAUUGUAUAAAAGUGCAAAAUAUUGCUCAUUUGUAGUGGUCUUUCUUGAACUAGUUGGAAAAAAAAGACAUAACAAUAACUAGAAACUUGUUGAAAAAUAAUCAAGUGAUUCAAUUAUAAAUAAAGAUUUCUACACAUAGAAAUAUUAAUCAA